UACAGAGGUGGCAAGCGUUGUUCGGAAUUACUGGGCGUAAAGGGCGCGUAGGCGGUCUUGCAAGUCCCGUGUGAAAUCCCUCGGCUCAACUGAGGAACUGCACGGGAAACUGCUUGGCUUGAGUUCGGGAGAGGGAAGCGGAAUUCCGGGUGUAGCGGUGAAAUGCGUAGAUAUCUGGAGGAACACCGGUGGCGAAGGCGGCAUCCUGGACCGACACUGACGCUGAGGAGCGAAAGCCAGGGGAGCAAACGGG
rnacentral:rRNA from 1 species